CCUACGGGUGGCAGCAGUGAGGAAUCUUCGUCAAUGGACGAAAGUCUGAACCAGCCACGUAGCGUGAAGGAUGACUGCCCUAUGAGUUGUAAACUUCUUUUAUAUAGGAGUAAAAUGAUGCAUGUAUCUGAAUUUGUAUGUACCAUAUGAAUAAGGAUCGGCUAACUCCGUGCCAGCAGCCGAGGUAAUACGGAGGAUACGAGCGUUAUCCGGAUUUAUUGGGUUUAAAGGGAGCGUAGGUGGGUUGUUAAGUCAGUUGUGAAAGUUUGCGGCUCAACCGUAAAAGUGCAGUGGAUACUGGCAGUCUUGAGUACAGUAGAGGUGGGUGGAAUUCGGGGUGUAGCGGUGAAAUGCUUAGAUAUCACGAAGAACUCCGAUUGCGAAGGCAGCUCACUGGACUGUAACUGACACUGAGGCUCGAAAGUGUGGGUAGCAAACAGGAUUAGAUACCCCAGUAGUC
rnacentral:rRNA from 1 species